UACGAAGGGUGCUAGCGUUGUUCGGAAUCACUGGGCGUAAAGCGCGCGUAGGCGGCUUUGCAAGUCAGGGGUGAAAUGCCAAGGCUUAACCUUGGAACUGCCUUUGAAACUGCUAAGCUGGAGUGUCGGAGGGGAUAGCGGAAUUGCUAAUGUAGCGGUGAAAUGCGUAGAUAUUAGCAGGAACACCGGUGGCGAAGGCGGCUAUCUGGACGACAACUGACGCUGAGGCGCGAAAGCGCGGGGAUCAAACAGG
rnacentral:rRNA from 1 species